CAGCAGCCACGGGAAUACGGAGGGUGCAAGCGUUAUCCGGAUUUAUUGGGUUUAAAGGGUCCGUAGGCGGACUUAUAAGUCAGUGGUGAAAGCCUGUCGCUUAACGAUAGAACUGCCAUUGAUACUGUAAGUCUUGAGUAUAUUUGAGGUAGCUGGAAUAAGUAGUGUAGCGGUGAAAUGCAUAGAUAUUACUUAGAACACCAAUUGCGAAGGCAGGUUACCAAGAUAUAACUGACGCUGAGGGACGAAAGCGUGGGUAGCGAACAGGAUUAGAUACCCCGGUAGUCCCUGUCUCUUAUAU
rnacentral:rRNA from 1 species